rnacentral:rRNA from 1 species
UACGUAGGGAGCAAGCGUUGUUCGGAUUUACUGGGCGUAAAGGGCGCGUAGGCGGCGCGGUAAGUCACUUGUGAAAUCUCUGAGCUUAACUCAGAACGGCCAAGUGAUACUGCAGUGCUAGAGUGCAGAAGGGGCAAUCGGAAUUCUUGGUGUAGCGGUGAAAUGCGUAGAUAUCAAGAGGAACACCUGAGGUGAAGACGGGUUGCUAGGCUGACACUGACGCUGAGGCGCGAAAGCUAGGGGGAGC